AUUAGUGUUUUCUUCCUCUGCUUUUGGAAAUAAGGAAAUAAUUCGGUAUUAGACGAGGAAUACGUAUUAUUAGUGCCCCAUGUCAAUUAAACUGCAUUUUCCCCCCAAACUAACUGUGUCUAUUUUCUUCUAAUUUAUGGAUUAGCAUCGGGAAACGGACGCAGUUUCUGCUGAGACUCGAUGGGCCUAAAAGUUCAGAUACUAAGCGCUUUUGGGGUGGAACAUGAAAGGGAAAAAGGAGCAAAAAAUAGAGGAUUGGGUCUUAAUUUGUAAAAGUUGAGCCCUUUGUGGUCGGUUUGACUCACGCGCUUCGACGUUUAAAAGAUGACGCAGUGGAAAUUCUGCGGCGGGAUUUCGCUUUGAAAGAUGAACAAACUCCAUAUUCCCGUAUAAUUUAUUAGAGCAAGUCCAUUCUGAAAGCUGGCGAGCGAAACACAAUAAAACUUCACUGUCUGCAGGAAAUCGUUCAUCUAAAAGAUGCGUCUUAUAUAUCUUAUAGAUGAGUCAUCCUGGAUAAAGGCUUAGACAGGAUGGAGAGGCAGUUUCACCGCAGGACUAUGAGGCUGGUUUCCACCACAUUCACCCAUCCUAACAAGUGGUGGGGAAACCACCUUAGCAAAGCUCAUCUGGGCCAUUGCUUGCAGAAAGGACCAUUGGGGUCAAACUGCCAUCUAUUAAGGACCCGGCCCAUCAACACUGUUUGACAAAGGCAAAGAGGAACAUUGGGACCCAUCUCACCCCCGCCACAGCCUGAUCUCUCUGCUGCCUUCAGAAAGACGAUACCACACUGAGAUGUUGCUGAGUCAGUUUGGACCAUGACAUCAUCAUCAUGAGAUGAGGAGGCUGGUGACCGCAGGCAGGGGCAGAAGAUGGGGUGCUGUUUGUCGUGGUUUGCAGCUGCUGGUUCUCUGUAAACUUAAUUGUGCUGUGGAGUUGCUUCAGGGAAUAUUCAGCUCAAAUGUGGAAAGAAGGAAUGAAGUCUGGGGGUUUGAGGGUGCAGUAAGUAAGAUUUUUAUGGACACAUUUCACCAGAUGACCAUAAAACACCUGCAGGAGGUUGUUGUUGUUGUUAAUGUUCCAAGUUCUGAGGCUUUUUUCCUUCGGUAUAAUGAACAGCUUUCCAGUUUGUUCUUGUUUUUUUUCAUUUCAUGUAAUGGUAUUCUUGAUACUUAGUUAUACUUAUGUUGUUAAAAUAACAGCUGAUGAUGAAAAUAGUAUGUGAAAAACAGAUUAAAGUGAACCUACUCUGGAGUUUUACCAGUUGUGAAUGCAGUAACGUGAGAAUAAUUCUUCUAUAUCGCAACUUAGCACAGUAUAGAAGGAGAAAUACUUUACAGAGGAAAAGAGAGAGGAAAAAAGAAAAAGAAAAAAUAUGGAAAUGAUCAAUUAUUUACUUUAGUUGAUUAUCAAAGCAUUAUCACUAAUAUUAUUAUUACAGUUUAAUAAUAGUAAUGCAAUUUAAUUAAGAUGAUGACAAAACCAAUAACAUAAAAAAAUAAAUAAACACAAAUACCAUUGAUUUCUUUUACUGUAGCGUCCCCUUAAACUGGAUUAGUACCUAUGUUACACUUCCUUUCAGGACUGAAGCAGUAACAUCAGGGCUAAAAUACUUUGUUUUUUAAAAAGAAAUUAACCAUCCCCCUCAUAGACUGUCUUUUGCUGGAUACCUUGUAUACAUAAAAAUACAUUAUGACGAAAGUAUUUCACUUUCUGGUUGAAUUUAGGCUUUAAUCUCAAUUACUGAGGAGUAAAAAUUCAAAAUAACUUGGUUACCGUCAUGGCACCAUUUUUAAGCCAUAAUUUACAUGCACUUGCUUUUGUGACCAGUAGAGAACGCAUAUUCUUCAAACGUGAUUACGAGAUGUUUUGAGCGGGAUGUACACAUGUUUUCAGGAGGAAGACAGUGUAGAUUGGUAAUGUAGGAUUGUAUGUUCAAAUAGUUCUCCCUUACAAUUACUCAGAUAUUAAAAUUUUCUGUGAUUCUUGUGAAUUCUUAUAUUACAAGUUUAAGUACACACACAAACAUAUAAUACAACAGUCCAUUGCAAUAAAAACAACAAAAAGCAGAAUAAAAAAUGAAAAAAAAAAACUGCUUCUCAAGUCAUUUGAAAAACAAUAGCUCGUUCAAUAUACUAGACCAUUCAAUAUUAUCAAUACUCUUUCAGUUUCAUGUCUAUUAUUAGGCAGAUACCUAUUCAUUAAAUUUGAAAACAUUUUCUAUUAUUUUCCAAGAACAGAAAUCCUGGCAAUCAAUUCCAUGCAACCAAGCACCAUCAGUGGUGUACACUUUUAACAGUGUGCUGAAAUGUAAAGUAUAAUAAUUAAAGCCAGUUUCAUGUCUUCUUGCAGAACAGUGGAAAACUAAAAACCAAAUAACGAAGUGUGCUUAUUUAAAAGAACAACAAUUUAAUUCAAUGCAAAGCAGUGCUUAUGUAAAUUAAUAAUAAUAAAAGAAAUAAUCAUUUGAAAAUUUCAAUAUCACACUGCUGAACAUUUGUCAUGGAAAAAUAACUGCAUUUAAAUUCAUAGUGAUUAUGUCUCCUUUUAAUUGCUUUUUUCCAACAGUAUUGCUACAUUAUAUAAAUUCAUGGGUUAAUUUAAAGACAAAAGUUGAAUACUGGAAUAUAUAAGCAUACAAGCAAAUUUUAUAGCACAUUUCAUGUACAAGACAAUUGAAAGUGCUUUAGAUAAAACAUUGAAGGCUGACUAAUUAGGAUUCCUUCUGUAAAAUUAAUUUAAAAUGUUCUCACUUGUUGCCAGGGAUAAAAGGAAGCUUCCCUAAAAAAAUCUGUCUCCUACAUCAACAACGUCUUUGUCAAGUUUUUCCCUUUCAAAAUAAGAGUUCCGUUUUGGAAUAACUUUGGUGCACUGUGUUGCUCUUUCCUACUUCCUGGUUCCUUAUCCAAUCAUAUGCGACUCCCCACAGUUGCCUAACAACAACCAGCAUUUGGUAUUUUAUGUGGGCGAAAGAGAAGCAGCAUGCAGGUAUGGAAUCUAGUAAAAAAAAAAGCGGACCAGAAAUAGUUUCAGAAAAACCUACAAAGCCACGGCAUCUUGCUAAAAAAGCAAACGAUCAAAAACGGAAUAACACGAGGAUCAAUACUGGAGAAGUCUGAGCUGGCAAAGUUUCUCCUCGACAAGUGAGCAAGUAUUAGUGGAGUAAACUGGUGGCCUGUUAGUUUACAACAACAAAUGUAUUGAUGUUUGGGCCAAGUGUAUAGUGUGUUUGUCCUUAUAAACUUAUGAAAUUACUAUCAAAUUAUUUCAUUAAGUGCGACUACGGGAUAACUGCCGCUGCGUGGCAUUUGUUUGAUUAAUGUAGCUUUUGUUUAUACUCCGUUUUAUUCUAACGUAAAUUAGUGCAUGAAAUUAGCGCUAGCAUUGCAAAGCAUAGCAACUUACUGUAUGUGUGAAUCAUCUUCGAUCCUCAUCAUGAUGUUUGCUGGCGCUAUGUUCUCCGUCCUUCAUAGACUGUCUAAAAGAGCCUUCCUCUCACGAACCAGCAACCUCCACAAAACUCUCCGAGGGGAAGUUGGGGAGGGAGGAAUAAGGCUCUCCAUGUUUUUCUCUUUCGACUGCAGUUCUGAUUUGAAACACUAGGUGUCAAUGCUACUUAUUUUGUCUUUAAAGCAUUACAGCAGGGUGCAGAAGAAGCAUUAAAAAGUACAUUUUAAACAAACUUUAAAGGCGCAUUACAUAACUUUCUGACCUCAAAUAUCCUCUUUCCAGACUCCUUUGAUGGCACAGUGACAUCUGUCAUGUGUAGUUCUGGAGCUGUUGCUGCCCAGCAGUGUCCCAAGGCUGAGAAACCACAUUAUACAACUUUAACUUCCUGGACGCCACAUGACCUUGCAGCUGAGUUUUGCUUUACACACCACUUAGCAAGCGGAUAUAAACACACCAGCCAUUUUAAAUGUGCACUAUGGCUGAUUCAGCAAGGAAACAAAAAAAAACAUAGUCAGAGGAAAUGAGGAAAAGAAAGAGAAGCUCUCAAUACAGGUAGGAUCAUAGACUAUAUAAAAAAGAUGGACGGAGCGUACGUGAGAUCACUCGUAGGUUUCUGAAGAACAAAAGGGAAACACGUUGGGCGUUCCCACUGUCACCAUCUCUGUAGCGUUACGCGUGUCGUUAGUCCCGGAAAAUCCAAAAAUGGGCAAAGACGUCGAGGCGAGAGGGGGACUGUGAAUACCUGGAUUGGAUACCUGCCAAUCCUGUGAGAAGUUAUGCAGUUGAUUACAAAAACUCUAACUACAUUUUUUUCCAUUUUUAUUUAAUAUUUGUUUAAACAUAAAAUAUUUGAAUCCCCAAGACAACUUUACAGGCCAUUUCGACCAUAUUCUAGAUAUUAGAAUAUUUUAAUAUUCAAAUUUAAAUAUACACAUGUUUUUUUUUUAAAUACUUUAAAUAUUUUACUUUGUGCUUUAACUUAUUUUUUUAUGCUUGAAUUGAAAAAGAAGACGUUUCAAACUGACCUGAAUAUUAGACUGAGCACACAUCUCUCCAUAUGAGCCCUAUAUAUAUAUAUAUAUAUAUAUAUAUAUAUAUAUAUAUAUAGUCAUUUACA